GAGGGGGAGGAGGAAAAGCAAGAGAUAAGAGAUGACAAUGGGAGCAGAUUGGCAAAUGCAAAACAAAACGUCCUUUAAAAGAGCUGUGGUCUCUUAUUCUGUGAACAUAUCCUUCAUAUAAACUAAGAAUCCCUUAAAUUGUGCUCAUUGCUUUCAUCCAGAGGUCAAACAACAAUAAUUAUCUACUCACUUAGCAUUAUUUCCUGCACAUUUCACCUUCAAUUUUCUUACCAUUUUCAUAUGAAAGGUUAGAUAAUGGUGCAAGGAAUAUAACUGAGGAGAAAGUAAGGUAAAAGAAAAUAAAAAGGUGGGACAAUACAAAUGUUUUAAUGAUCAGAAAAACCCACAGCUCAAAAACAACAACUAGAUCAACUCCUCUCAAUUUCGGGCGGGUUUGAACAAGUCCUACUGUCCAUAUUUUUGUCAGUUUUGAGCGCCAGUUAUUAUGAUCUGGUAAACACCUCAUCAGCACUCUGUUCAAAGAGCCAAGUAUGCAGCAGGAAACAGGCUGCGCGCUCAGUUUGAUAAACAUCGCCAUUUUCAGACUCUGUAAGCAGGCAGCGCAGGAUCGAGAGGAGACUGGCCUUAAAUGCAAAAUGCAAAGUUGAAAUCACUGCUCUACACCAAAAGGAAGACCAACUCUGGCCAACAUUGGCAUCAAAGAACCAGAACUGCAUGCACUUGAAUCACCUACAGUGGAAAGUAAACAUAAGCAGUGUGGCAUCUGGAUGUUUCUGACCCUGACCUCUGACCUUCUCUUGGAAAUAAGUGGUGGUGGACCUCAGUCGAUCGAUGCCUGCGCCAUGUGAUGGACGACAAAUGAACAAGGGGUCCGGGAUGCAUAAAUGGAGAGGACGGCAUGCUGUCAGAGAGAGACAUGGGGACUGAGAGUGAGCAAGGCUAACAGGGAGUUAAUGGGACAUGUGUUUGAUGGUGGUCACAUGGACUGGGGAAUUACCUGUGGUAAUUGGGAAACAGGGAAGGCUGCAGACAGAUUGUAUUACCUGGAGGACUUACACACAUAGAUGCACACACACAGACUUAAGACAACUCAGACUAGCACUAGUGGGAUUUUUAGAUCAAGCAGCUUUGUCUAUGUGUUUGUGUGACAGGUUAUCCUAAUUUGAUUCAUUCAGGUUAAAUAGUGGAUGGAUUGUAUAUCCUAUGGGACUACUGACAAGACUUUGAGAUUCAGGUCCUAUAGAGCUUUCCAAAACCUGGGUUGAUUGACUCAUUAAACAUUACUCAUUGAAAAAGUAAUUACAUAACAUAAUUACAUAAUAAAGGUGCCCUUAAAUAACUCACUCAACCCACAUAUUACAUCCUUUGUCUUUAACACAUGCAGGGACAGAAAACAAGACACUGCAGUUGCAACUCAGAUGUCAACGUAACUGGUUAUUACUGGGAUUUGUAGCUGUAAUUUAAUUAUUGAAUUGCAAAUUGUAAUACCCUACACAACUUGUUACUGAAGAAAGAAGACAAAAACUUCACUGUAACAUGUCACUAAGUAAUGCUUUACUGCCCAACACAGUAAUUAAGAGCUCAUGGCUGAAUAUUGUGUUACAAAUGUGUUAUUUUUUGGCCCUUUAAACAAACUGGACUGUUGAGGUAAAUCCAGGUAAAAACAACUUUUCCUUACUGACUUUUUAUAUUAAAUCUGUAGCAAUUACAAAGCAGGAGAUGUAGAUAAGGAUAGACAGCAAUGAUGAAAAGGCAGUAUUAAAGUUUGCAAUUAAAAUGACUUUAUGCUUUGAGACAACAGAGAAAAUGGGAAACAAGGCCACCAUGCUGCAGAGUAUACAGGUUGUUCCCACACAGCCUGUGUUUAGGCUGUGCCAUAAUGUGUACAUUAGAAUUAAAAGACUCCAGCAUUACUGUUUAAUGGCUCUGAACCAAAUUAAACAUUUAAAAGGCUCCACCAUCAAAGUGAUGUAAAGGGAAAUAAAUAUUAAUGAAUGAACUAACACUUGGUUCAAAGGGCUGGAAGCUGGGAAAAUUAAAAGGGAGCAAGGGUCUGCAUAAGGAAGGGUGCUCAGUGGAAGGGAACGCUGUACUGCGGGGGGUUGAUUCCUGUGAGACCACACAUGCAGUAUAACCAAAUGCAUGAAUUCAUGUUGCUGAGAGGCAUGUUGGUUUAAAUACAUCUGUUACAGUGCACCAAACUGUAUAAAAUGUAUAUGUUCACAAUCUGUUGGGAUCACGUGAGGCAUUAAGUCAUAGAUACAUAACAAUAUCGUGUCUUAUGUUUUUUUUUUUCUUAGUCUGUUUCUCUUUUGCAAAAACACUCAUGAGCAAUGAGCAAACGUACCCUCAUAUGCAGGCAAAUUCAGUCCUAUUGAUUUUCAAGUUGACCAGGGCCCACUAGAGAACAGAUAUUUUACUGAGGGUUUAUUGAGCUUUUUUCAUUUUCUGCUCCUUUGUCUGUCACUAAAAAUAGCAAUGCGAUCAUACAAAGACAAUUUUCAGGCUCAGGCUUGGCCACAACUGAGCAAACUGCAGGCCUCCCUUACAGGGGUAAGAAAUUUGGUUUGCUCAAACACUUCCUUAAGUUAAACUCAGAUAAAUCACAAGUUAUCAUCGUCAGUCCAGAGUGUGUGUGUGUGCGUGUGUGUUUGUCCAUGACGUAGGAUGUGCAGGUCACUAAACAUGUGACAGAAAUAGCAAGGUCAAAAACAAGGAGUGACAAUAGCAUCACUUUUCCUCUCGAAGGUUCCCUUCUCCAACACUUGUGGCAGCUUUAAGGAUACCGCAGGCGAGGUAGACAGCUCAUCACAAUGGAUGACAAGUGUGGGGGCGUGAACUUGACCAAAUGAGGGGAAGAGGUGAUGACUAAUGAUUCAUUUUCCUGACUCGAGGCAGAAAAAGUUACAUUUUUGUGUGCGAGGCCUUCCAUGUUUCAUGCAGGCAAAAAUAGAGAUAUGCUCCGUGAGUCAGAAAAGAGCUAGAAGUAUUCAGUGACAAAGUGUCAAAAAGUUUCAUUUAACCUGCGCAUUCUUGUCAUUGUGUUAAACUGUCUGGGUUUGGUAAUCUUAUCCCCCAUUAAUUCCUGUCUAUCAGGUCUACACAGUGCAAAAGUUAGGUUUAAUUAAGAAAAUGCUUCAUUUGAUCUGCACACCAGAUCUAUUUGUUGUAUUUUGCUCAGAGCACACCCAAUUACUCACUCUGUAGUAUGCAUGAGUGGCCAUGUUUUUUUUAUGUGUGACAAACAUAAUCAGAUGUGAAGCAUUAACACAGAUGGACUGUGAAAAUUCACCACACAGAUCCUUACAUUUUGGCAUUAACACCGGAAGCUGUGUCAAAACAGUGUCCGAGGUUGCAUGUUAACAUGCUUUUCCCCACUGGGAUGCAGCAUAGGCACUUUUGAUAAUGCUUGCAUCUGAUGACUAAUGUCUGUGGGCACAGAAAUUUUGCAAGCAUACUCUUCAUCAAAACAGCCUCUCAGUACAUCUCUUAAGUAGUUUAUUUGAUUUAAAUUUGCAAAUCCCUUUUGGUAAAAGUUUAAUUCACCCUUUGCCUCAAAGUUUCAGUUGAGUUAAGGAUAUGCAAAUGAACUCACAGUGACUUCCCUGCCCAUUAACUCACAUCGCCCUCCUGCUGGAUUUGUCCUCACGCUAACCCCGUGUGAGGUGACUGGGAAAAUAUCCGUCCCAGGUUGUAUCCUCUGACGACCCACUAUUUUGCUCCCAUCUUAGCUUGAACAGAAGGACCUCCUGUUUCUCUUUCUUGGUAGAGAUGUGAGGAGGGUCUGUUUCUUCAGUUACAGAUGCGACAUCCUUGAAAUAAUUUAUGCUUUUUAAGGGGUGAUCAUUAAGAACACUGUGAAGAUUUUGAGAAUAAAUUUUAGGAAUUGCCUUGAGAGAUUUAACCAUUUGCUGACUCACUUUUUCAAAUAGAAGUUUCGCUAAUUUUAAAUUUUCUGGAUUUAUUGAAUAAAAUAAGCACUGUUUGUACAAGCUUGUCAGAUUUGAGCAUCAUUACACAAGCAAAUCCUAGAGGUUAUGUUUGUAUAGUAUUCAUUUGUUUUCCUAAAUAUGUUAAACAAAUAUAAUUGCUAUAUUAUGCUCAUACAGUACGCAUUGUUUCCUAGUUUAGGCAGUACUACAUUUUUGUACUGCAGAGAAGUUGUCUAGAAGUGGAGGGGGUGGCUAUAAUCAAUAUUUCUUUAUUAUCAUUAUAAUCAUUAUAAUGCAUCCUGGCUGCAGUAGAUGGCUAUUUUCAGUAAAAAAAACAAAAAAACCCUCUAAAAUCUGACUUUUAGUUUUGUAACUGAGGCAUUUUACCUUCCAACAAUAUGUAGGAUGUAUUCUGUCUCAGAGAAACAUAUUCAAGGUCAAAGUUCACACUGUAGUAAUAACAUUAAGAGCAAGAAAUGGGACAUUGCACAAGCCCAAUGUAGUGUAAUCUCCAGAGGGAAAAAAAACAUAACCAGUGAACAUAAUUUCAGCUUCAUGAGGCGGAAUACAUUAUUGAACAGCACUGGCUAAACUGCAUUUCAUGUCAGUAGUGCCUCAUCUGUUCUAUGUACACUUGUUUGAUGAUUUAUUCACUUGGUGCUGGCCUGUUAGUCUGACACAUCUGUAAUCGUCCAUGCAUGGCAUCUGACUUGUGUGGAGGUUGUUGGGGGUGGAGGGGGGCAUAGUGCAGACGAGAGGUGAGAAAAGUGCGUGGGCUCCAUCGUGACCUCGUGAACAGGCAUUUUGUUUUCCUGUUAGAACCACAAGUGUUGUCAGUGUACUCCGGAAUUGAGGUUAGAAGCCCUUUCAUCGGCCAAAUCUCAAUAUUUAAUGACCUUGAGAGCACGAUUAAAGCCUUGGCCGUUUUUCUGCAGGCCUCUUGUGAUCAAAUAAAUUUUUUGAUGAAGUAAAAACUA